UAAUGUUCAUAAAAAAUAAUAUAUUUGUACAAAUCGAAAUGAGUGUAAAAGAUUUUUCAAAAAGUAUAUUACAUUCCCUGUACAAAUGCACUCAAUAUGAGUGAUAACAAUUUCAUUGUCAAUGAAACAAAUCAGUGAUAAACAUUAUAAAAAACAAGAAUCAAUUUAUACACUGUGGAAUUGAAGUUACAUGUUGAGACCGAUCAUGGAAUUAUUUGAUUGGCAGUGUAAAUGGCAUACUAUGUUAAUAGGAGUAAACAUGUAUUUGAUUAAGUUAGCAUUACAUCUUAAAAACACAUUGGUGAGCGAAUACAAUGCUUUUGUAUAUCUGUUACUUCGACACCUAUACAAAAAAGCUUUCCUAAACACGGUUAAAAGUUUGAUUUUUUUCUUUGCAAAUUAUUAAUCAAUAGAUUUAUGAUGCACAAAAGUUAAAUUAUCCUAUGAUUCAUUAUAAAUUCGAAAGGCAAAAAUGAUAAGUUUGUAAAACUUUACGCAAAAUAAAACAGGGAGGCUGUAAACGCAAAAUAUUAUUAUUUGACAAUAUUGGUCAGAACAAUUACUAGACAGGUACUGCUACGCAUUAAAAUUGACCAUUUUCUAAAAUUUACAUGGCACGAAAAACUCUGAGAAUGAUUUAAUUCUUAGGCAAGGAAGUUUUACUAUCAGGGUCCACAAUCUCACGCACGUAGGAAAUAAAAAAAAUAAUUAAAGUAUGUCUAUACUUUUUCUUCCUCUUAAAAAGCAAAGCAAAAAUAAUUUUUUUUCUGAAAUUCACUCUAAAAAUUUGACAGAUUUGAAAAUUUGACAACUGUGAUCAACCUGGUUCGUUCAUCAAAACUCCCGAAAUUAACGAAAGGCUGGAUAACAAUCCAAAUACCCACAUAACAAGGCAUUUCAAUACGUGCAGGGGACUCUUGAUACAUUUAAAAGCUGCUACAGGUACUUACAAUCAUGACAAUCAGGUAGGCGGACCGGACAGACAAUUUUUGAUUUGAUACUAAAUUAAUGCAAAAAGGCGGAAAGUUGGAGACAGAGACAGAGAGACUGUCCCAGAAAUUCCGGAAAAAGCAUGUCAAAUUCAACAAUAAAUAUGUACAAAUACAAGACAAGUUUCUGAAACAAGAACAAAAUCAAUACUUGCUCAUUUUGCUUUCUAUGAAUUGAUUUAUCAAACAACGGCUCAAAUCAAAACGUUCGGUGCGUAUGUCCUCUAAAAAUUUUAUCUGAGAAAAAUUGACAAGUAUUUUAGGAAGCUAAAGAAAUUGUCUCUGUUUCAGAAUAAAUUCUCCAAAAAUAUUGACUAGUCAAUUUUCAACGAACAUCUUAAGUAAUACUCCAUUAGAAAAUUAUGCUAUUAAAAAAAUUAGGCUUUGGCCGCGCGAUGGAAUAUCAAAGGGUGAGCCGGCUCACAUUUUUCUUUGAUUACCACACAAUAAAAUAUGAUUGUUUCAUACAAAAAGUGAAGAUGUAGAGAUGAGGACUUUUGACUUAUGCCAAAGUGAGGUAAAAUCAAGAGUUUUUAAACUGAAAUAAGUAGAAGCGUUUCGCGAAUAAUUAUUUAGAGAGAUUGAGAAACUAAAAAAGUAAACAAUUAUUGUUCCCUACAUACCUUAGUAAUACGUAUAAAGCUUUAUUUUUUGGCACGGUUUAUAUCACCUCAUCAUAUUUCUGGGAUUUCGCAAUCUGGAGAAUGACAUUUUUUUAGAUACACAAUGAGUAUUAUUAAAAACAAAAAUUAUAUAUAUUUUUUUGUUCAUUAGGUAAGUUUCCUAUCAAGUAUGUGAAAUCAUUUUCCCAUCCGGCUAUCUUUUACACCCGUUUUGUUAGGCGGGUUUUGGACUGAAAAAAUUUUCAGGAAAAGUUUUUUAAUUUCAUAUACAUGCAUUUCCCAUAAG
rnacentral:lncRNA from 1 species